ACGUAGGAGACAAGCGUUAUCCGGAUUUACUGGGCGUAAAGCGCGUGCAGGCGGUUCGGUAAGUCGGGCGUGAAAGCUCCUGGCUCAACUGGGAGAGGCCGUCCGAAACUGCCGGGCUUGAGGGCGACAGAGGGGAGUGGAAUUCCGGGUGUAGUGGUGAAAUGCGUAGAUAUCCGGAGGAACACCAGUGGCGAAGGCGGCUCCCUGGGUCGCUCCUGACGCUCAGACGCGAAAGCGUGGGUAGCGAACGG
rnacentral:rRNA from 1 species